AAGAAUGCUAUUAGCACUAUCCGCAUCAGUCUAUUCGUCUACUAAAUGUUGAUUACUUCUUCAUUUAUUAAAACAAUAAUAUUCUAAAUAUGUUAUGUAUAAUUUAUAUAUUAAUAUAUGUAUUUACGUAUUAAUUUUUAAUAACAUUAAUAUUUUUUUAAGUAAUGAUAAAUAUUAAUCCAGUAGUCUUUCUUAACAUUGUUAUUAUCAGUCACAUUUUAAUAUCACAGUACUUAACAUAAGCUGCAUUACUAUCAAUUAAACGAAUAAUGAACUCGGUAUUUCAUAAUUAUGACAUUUAUUAUAUCGAUUUAAACUACAUUUGAAAACAAUUAUUAUUAUAACUCGUUUGGAGAUGUGACUUUGACACGAUUCUUACAAUAGUUUUAUUGAUCUUCAAGAUAAAUUGCAUCAAAAUAUAUGAAGAAAACGUAGUCUGAUCUAUUGGCACUCACGAUUUGGAUACAAUUAAAGGUCCAUUUUUAUAUGAUGCUAGACACCAUAAAAAAUACGGUUCAAACCACUUAAUCAAAAUAAAAUGUAUACAAGAGAAGAAAUUAUGCAGUUAUAUGCAGUAAGUUUUUGCUCUUUUUCUCAUUAUGUUUGUAAAUUCUGUAAGUAAUUGCAAUGUAAUCAAACGGUCCCUUUUUUAAAUCUCCAUUCUGGAAGACCAAAGAUUUGUCUCAUACAAAUUAUAUGAAUUUAAAAUCUGUGUAUAAAAUCAAAUUUACAAUCUGUCAUUUACGAGUUCGUUGUUACAGCCAUACAUUAAGAUUCCAAUUAAUGAAAAUAAUCCUACAUGUAGAAAAUGAUUAAUACAUAUUCAUGUCUAGCUACGUUUGCAGAUACAUGCGCACUUAAACAGUAUUUACUAAUCAUAAAAGUCAGUCCUGUUUAUUCUAUUAUAUAUGGUAAUGGAGUUGUUUUAUCUUUGUCUCCUAUCAUUAAUGGAAGUCAUUCAAAGAUCACACUUAAUACAAAAAAUAUUUUUAUCGAGUGCACAGCAACUGAUCUUACAAAGACAAAGAUAGCGGUAGAUAUUUUAGUUUGUGCAUUCAGUUAGUAUCGCAAGACGAAAUAUACAAUCGAAAUUGUAGAAGUAGUAUACAGAUAAUCAAACCUUCUAUUAUCCAAAAUUAAAAUAUCGAACGGAAGAAAUCAGUUGCAAUAAAGCGAUUAAUUACAUUGACAUUGAGUACGUGAUCGCACCUUUUCCAUCAUGCACGUAGAAUAAUGAUUACGAGAUGACAGUUGCUGCUACCAACUAACAAGGGACCGAGAAAUUUCAAUCGCAGCACUUGCAGUUGCAACAUUUAAAAGGUGAAAUAAACUCUGCAAUUAUAUUCAGCCUUUCCAUAAUUGACGUAUGUUACAAUAUACACUUAAUCUUGCUACUUAUUUUAAUGAUACAGCUAACUAGAUCAGGCGAACAAGAAAAUCACAUAGGGUGAGAAGUCGCUUCAUCUGACGCCUGACGGUAUCUCUUGAUAACAUAGUCGAUUAGUUUGUUUAAUGGCUGAUUUUGACAAGCAUGAAUUACUACGUGGUUCGUUACCACGAAUCACUUGAAAGAAGAGAAAGAAAAAUAGAAUACUCAGUAUUAUAGGCCAUAUUAGUCUUCUUCAACGUUUUAAUUGAAAAGACGAUUUUGUGCUGAAAAAAAAUUACGUUAACAAUCUUUUGUAAUUUAAUAAAAUAAUAAAAAAGAAAUUAAACAAAAAAUUGAUUACUUUAAUCUUCUCUCGAAAUAAAUAUUUUCAUUAUCAAAAACUUCGGGAGAAAUUGCCUCCACCUCUUCUUCUCUUUCCUUUACGUCCGUCAUACGCUGUUUAGAUGCCGUUUCGUUAUCGCUUGUUACAUAAUUUAUUGUACUUUGGCUGUUUGAAUAACUCAGUCGCGUGUUAUUUUCUUCCCUCGAGCUACGACAAAAUUCAGUUCAAAAAUACUUGUUCGAAAAUAUCCCAUAAUUCAUUAAUGCUAUUGGAGAUUUAAUUAAAAAAUAUUUUUUAAACACUCAAUAAAGAUUUCUUUUGAAUUUUUUAAUAAACAUUUGAUAGUUAAAGAUUCUUACAGUACUAAUAUGUAAAAAAGGAUACCUUAAUGGUACAGUCAUAAAUAUGUAUCUCGUAUACAAUCAAUGUUUCAUCUAUUUAAAGUAAUUUAAAAAAUGUAAAAAUUCAUAAACAUACAUUUUUAGGUUUUUAGAACAAAUACAUGCACUUUGAAAAAAAAAGUAUAAUUAUAUUUAUAAUAAUUUAUUAUAAUAAUUUAAUUAUCGAAGUUUAUAUCAUAUAAUGAUUGUAUCGUAAGGAUUAAUACACAUUUAAAAUACUAGCGCAAGAUAUUUAUAAAAAGAAACGUAAGUCCGUAAGUCCACAAUAAUAUUACUAACUCGAUACAUAUCUAGGUUUUCGAUCUCUUAUUUCGGCGAUUCGGAGCUGAAAGAUAGCCUCCUGCAAGUUAUACAUCCAGAAACAGAAUUUCGCUGUCUUACGGUGUGUUCUGUAUACAGCACAAGACAAAAAAA
rnacentral:lncRNA from 1 species